ensembl:snoRNA LOC120097224 small nucleolar RNA SNORA42/SNORA80 family
GCAUAUUAAAAGAGACCAUUGUGGCAGGCCCAUUCCCCUGGGCCUCUCAUAGUGUCCUGUGCUAUAGCAACCUGUGGCCAAACACCAUGGCCUGGCCCCUGUCUGUAGGCUGCUGGCACUGAAAUGGGUCGCACAGUA